GACUGUCCCUAAACCUAAAGCUACGGCGCCUGAGGAUGAGACUGCGGUGGAUUAGGCUGUUGUUGGUGUAACGGACCAACAAACCUAUAAUCCAUACGGGCGUUGAGAGACGUAGCCCGGAGAUGUGUUCUGAGACAAGAAUACAGGCCCUACGGGGCGCAGCAGUUGCGAAACCUUUACAAUGCCUUCACGGGCGAUAGGGGAAUCCUGAGUGCCCUAGCAAAGCUAGGGCUUUUAUUUACUCCAAAAGGGUAGGUGAAUAAGCAGUGGGCAAGACGGGUGCCAGCCGCCACGGUAAUACCCGCGCUGCAAGUGGUGAUCACGUUUAUUGGGUCUAAAGCAUACGUAGCCGGCUCGGCAAAUUCUUGGUGAAAUCCUGUGUAAAGCGCAGGGCGUGCCAAGAACACUGCCGGGCUAGGGACCGGGAAAAGCUGAGGGUACUCUAGGGGUAGGGGUUAAAU
rnacentral:rRNA from 1 species